rnacentral:rRNA from 1 species
UAACACGUGGACAAUCUGCCCUGCACAGGGGGACAACAGCUAGAAAUGGCUGCUAAUACCGCAUAAGCCUACAGCCUCGCAUGAGGGAGUAGGAAAAGAAAUUCGGUGCAGGAUGAGUCCGCGUCUGAUUAGCUAGUUGGAGGGGUAAGAGCCCACCAAGGCAACGAUCAGUAGCCGGCCUGAGAGGGCGACCGGCCACAUUGGGACUGAGACACGGCCCAAACUCCUACGGAAGGCAGCAG